GUUCUCCUUUGGCGUACAGGUGCAUGCUUAUUUCAAAUUUCGUAAAAAAUUGAUUUCCAUACAAUCCGUAGCAAAUUGUUUCCCAAGGUACCUGCAGUAAAUCAGCGCGGAAUUGCGAUUCAGAAAAGUGUUUGAAAUCGCGGACUUCUUUUAUAGUUGGUCUAGAUUAAGGUCAUUCGGAUUUCCUUACAGCAUAGACUAAGCUAUGAUCGGAUAUACCAAGGUGUAAAACACCAACAGUCGAAAUAUAUUCAGGUUUAUUUGUAAGUAUUAAGUCUCACUAGUGUGGAUGUUGUCUCCGUAAUUCUCGUAGGUUCAUUAAUGACUUGAGUUAAUUGAUAUAAAGAGCAUAAAGUUUGCAGUUUAUGAGUUUGUGAAUCAGGAGCUAGUUUGUUAACGUCGCAGUUUAGAUUCCCAACUAAGAUUAAUUCUCCAUUUCUAAGUUCCACAAGUUCGUUCUUUGUCUCAUAUCCAAGACAACUCUUCUUCUUCCCGAGUUUCCUUUAUUUCGAUUUAAACUUUAUGGGGUGGUUCUUCCAUUCAAUGCAUGCAGCCGGUAUUUGUUGACAUUACGCCAAACGCUCGAUGAAGAUUACGUCCUGGAAAAGCUAUUUGAAAUUGUCUUAACACUGCAACAACGCUUUUUGUUUCGAAAUACUUUUCAACAAUGAAUGUUCUUUCCGGAAUUGUUAGCUUUGGCAUUAUGAAUGGUGAUUGUAAAGUUUUAAACAUCAACGUUCUAAAUUUUAGCAAACUACCUUUAAUUAAGUCCCCAAGGGACUUCGAAGAUUAAUAUUUCGAAGCAUCUAAAAACGAGCGCUUGUACUAAAUUAUUUUUAUUGCGAUUAGCCUUAGUUCAAAAUUUUCAAGAAACCCUUCAUUCGAAAGAUGAAAAAACAAGCUUUAAAUUGAGGACAAAACGAAACUAUGGUAGUUUAUUUUACGAUAGAAACAAGGAUAUUUAGGACGACUUCGUUUUUUUAUACACCCUCUAUACCUUAUACACACAAGUUUUGGUGGCUUUUAUUUAGAUAUACAAAACCAUAUUGUUGAAUACCCACGAGUACGAGGUUGCAUGAAGUAAUGUUUUGAUUAUCUAUUUUUGGCUUAAUGGCGUGAAUUUUUUCAGAAGAAAAAGGUUUUAUGUAAUUUGACUCAAAUGAAGUCACUCUUAAUAGUUAAUUUAAAAUGUGCAACAAAGCCAACAUAUUUAAGAACCAGUUGGGUUAUUUUCGAAAUCUGUGAGAAAUUACCAAGCUGUGAGCACACCGCGGAGGUUUUAGUAAAAUACGUGAUGCUGAUGGUGGAUCUGUGAGAGUUGGCAACUGUGCCCUGUAUACAUAUACCGUAAUUUAUAUAUUCUUUACCAUUUGUUGAGUCAACAGCUGUUCAAAUGUACAUGUUUAUGUUGAAAUCAGUUUAGUAAAUGGUGUUGUGUUGGAGUUUAUUACAGUUCUACUGCUCUAUUUUUAUCUGUAGGUUUUAUUGUAGGGCAGGGUAAUGUGGGGCAGGUAUUUAUAUUGCACAAAAAUGUUUGCCCCCCCUUUUUUUCAUGCACAAAAAUAUCUGACCCCCUCAUUUUCCACCAACCCCCCCUGUAAUUAAUUACCGGUCCCUAAAAGCAACCCUUCGUCCCUUCUAAACACUAUAAGCACUUCAAAAAGGUUGUCGCUUUUCCUUUUCGGACGUUAGAGCUAUGUCGACACUACCUUUUCAGGGUGGGGUCAUUUUAAGGACUUUUGUCCCGGAUUCAGGUUUUGGCACAUAUGCCAUGUUGACCACCAUAGUCAUUUUACCCUAAAACAGUUGAGAUUCUGUCCUAAAUGAAACGCAUACAAACUCAUAUACAGGUCCUAGACUAGUAAUAAAAGAUGCAAAUUUGAAGAUACAAGCUCGAAAAUAGCACUCUAAAAAUAGUGUUUUUGAUAAUGAUUCGAACAAGACUAUUACGAAGACUGAGAUACGUCGCAAAGGGCCGAAGUUAUGUUUGGUGAAAGGUAUAUAUAGCUAGUCUAUAUUUUUGUUCUGACUUUCGAAGGCCAUAAAUCGCUACAAUGUUGAUAAUGACUAAAACUAUCGUGAGGAAUUAGUUGAUAUUGUUUCACUUAAUCGAUUAUUAAUAUUGUCUUCAUAGCAUUCACUGAACCGAAGAUAUGAACAUACAAAGUCGGCGUCAUCCUCUAGCGGAUGACGAUACUUGCAACUUGUCGAGAAAAAGGAAGUGUUACUCAAAAUGUUAUAACGUUUCUAAAUAUUCAGAAAAUUUAGGCCUGUUUCAAACGUCG
rnacentral:lncRNA from 1 species